AUUAUCCUAAUAAAAUAUCAUACUUAAAUUGAAACUCCACAGAGAAGACUAGCAUGGUCCUGUGUAAGGAUGACACCCAAAUUCAGGAAGCAUCCCAUAUUUUG
ensembl:snRNA U6 U6 spliceosomal RNA